UUAUUGAUAUAGGUGAAUGGCUAGAGGGAACUAAUAUCAUUAUCGCCUACUUGUUUUGAAUUGUUUGACCACUGUGCGCUGGCUACGGAAAUUUCCUAAUGCCGAAACAAACCGAUAUACGUGUGUAGUAUGUGCAUAUGUGGAGCUUAUACCAAAGCCUGGACGGGGAGCGCGGGGAGGCGACCCACCGUGUACCAGCAGUUGUUCUUGCGAGGCAGAGAGAGACAGAGGACGGCGAUGCGCGUGAGCAGCAACUAUGUAUGAAAGUUAGAAAGAGAAAGGUAGAACAAAUAUGGAGCAAGCAUUUUUGCAUUGUUCGUCAGAUUGUCAAGUGAUUUUAAUAAAAUGCAAUUAAAGCUGA